GCGAGUUCUAAACUCCAACCCUCGUGGACAUACCUAUCGUUGCUUCGGCGGGCCCCCCUCGCAGGGGGGCAGCAGGGCCCGCCCCUGCGCCCGCCGGUGGCACGCCAACCAAAACCUGAAUCACAGUCGCAUUCUGAGUGGACUACAAAUAAGGUCA
rnacentral:misc_RNA from 1 species